rnacentral:rRNA from 1 species
AGUUCGGACUGGAGUCUGCAACCCGACUCCACGAAGUUGGAUUCGCUAGUAAUCGCGCAUCAGCCAUGGCGCGGUGAAUACGUUCCCGGGCCUUGUACACACCGCCCGUCAAGCCAUGGGAGCCGGGGGCGCCUGAAGUCCGGGACCGCGAGGACCGGCCUAGGGCGAAACUGGUAACUGGGGCUAAGUCGUAACAAGGUAUC